rnacentral:rRNA from 1 species
UACGGGGGGAGCAAGCGUUGUUCGGAUUUACGUGGGCGUAAAGGGCGCGUAGGCGGCUUUGUAAGUCGGGGGUGAAAGCCUGUGGCUCAACCACAGAAUUGCCUUCGAUACUGCAUGGCUUGAGACCGGGAGAGGUUAGUGGAACGUGCAGUGUAGAGGUGAAAUUCGAUAGAUAUUCGCAAGAACACCAGUGGCGAAGGCGGACUGCUGGUCCGGUUCGUGACGCUGAGGCGCGAAAGCGUGGGGAGCAAACAGGG